AUGCUUCUGGGUUACUCCAGAUACAGAAUCAAUAUGAUGGUCCUUGCUGAACUCCUAGGGCUGCUACUGCUCUGGAUUUUAGAUGUGAGAUGUGAUAUCCAGAUGACCCAGUCACCAUCCAAGCUGUCUGCAUCUCCUGGAGAAAGUGUCACCAUCACUUGUCAUGCCAGUCAGAAUAUUAACAGUUGGUUAUCCUGGCACCAACAGAAACCAGGGAAUGCUCCUAAUCUCUUGAUCUAUAAAACAUCCAACUUGCAUACAGGAGUCCCAUCGAGGUUCAGUGGCAGUGGAUCAGGGACAUAUUACUCUCUCACCAUCAGCAACUUGCAGCCUGAAGAUACUGCCACUUACUAUUGUCAACAGGAUCAAACUGUUCCUUUCACAGUGAUACAAGUCAUAACAAAAACCUCCCACAAGUGCAAUGGAGUUGUUGGAGGAGUUUUUGCAUUGGCGCCUGUCUAUCUCCUCCUUCAAAUGGAGCCAGCAGAGACUUGGUAUCUUGAUCCAAUCUUUGCUGUGACUGAAUCUGGGUGA